rnacentral:lncRNA from 1 species
CAUGGAAUGCAAGUUUCUACACUAAGCAUGUUUUUUACACAAUUGAAAGCUCAUGAACACUACUCCAAAGCAUCCUAGCCUCAAGAAUUAACUCAUCUAGUUGGCAAACUCAUACUUAUGAUUCAAUCAAGGACAUCAUACAAAUCACCCAAAUUCAUCAAAUAUGUGCCCCUUACAAUAAGAGAGUUACCCAUGAUCCUCACAAUAAUGCAAUUUAUAACAAAAUGGGUACAAGAAUCAAAUUACUCUCACUCUCACAAAGAAUUCACAAGUUACACACAAUGAACCAUAUGCUUGUCCUUAGUAUAAUGCUCCACUAAUAGUCGAAUGUAAAGCUUAGGAUUAAUUAGGUCUUUUCUGGGUUGUAAUAUAGGCUAAGGGGCGGGUAGAAACUAUUUUGGCCAAGAAUAGUGACUAACCUCUCUAAGAGCUUUAAUUCACUACAUUAUACAAUUAAAAUCAAUCUUUAACAAUCAAAUUACAUCAUUUUUUUCCACCCAUCUCUUUUAUUUUUGCCCAUCUCUUUUAAGCAUUUUCAGAACACAUGGUGGGCACAUAGUUUACUACCAUAUGAAUUAAUUUCUCUUUUUCACAAUCAUGGCAGUAUUUAUAACAUCAUUUAUAUCACAACCAUCCACCAUAGAUCAAUGUAAACACCAAUAACUCUUACCUUGGGGCAUCAAUUUCACCUUUUUCUUCUUCAAUUUCUCAAACUCCUUACUAAUUCAAUUUUUCAUUAAAGCACUUACGAGCUUUUUGGAUCAAAUUAUAGUUUAUCAAAGAAGGGAUUAGGCUACAUAUGAAGUUACCAAAUAAAAUAAGCUAAAGGCUCAAUAGGGAUUAACUAGGAUAAUGCGCAAAGGUAGGCAAAAGAAGGUAUAAAACAAAGCUAUCAAAGAAAUGCCUAUAUCAUCUCCUAAACUCACAUUCUUUAUUUCGCUUCACACACACACCGGGCA